rnacentral:rRNA from 1 species
GUCGUAACAAGGUUUCCGUAGGUGAACCUGCGGAAGGAUCAUUACCGAUUCUAAUACCUCAAUCACUGUGUACUCGGUUCGCUGCGCGGCAGCAGCUCCUUUCGGGGUUGGCCGGCUCUCUGUUGUCGGUCAUUAAAUCGGGGUUCGCGCCUCGGGCCCCGAUCGGAGCUGUCUGCCCGCUGCAGCGAUUUUCCCGUCUCCGCGCCUUCGUGCGGCGGAGGCAUUGCGGUGAACAACCGCGCUUUGUUUUUUCAACCUUGCCAACUUGUAGACGUAACGUCGGGCUUUCGAACGAAAGCUUGUCUUGAUUCUGAAUCAAAUGACAACUUUCAACGGUGGAUCUCUUGGCUCGUGGAUCGAUGAAGAACGCAGCAAAACGCGAUAUGUAGUGUGAAUUGCAGAAUUCAGUGAAUCAUCGAAUCUUUGAACGCAAAUGGCGCCCCUGGGUAUUCCCAGGAGCAUGUCUGUCUCAGUGUCGUUUUCACCUCGAGCGCGCUUCGGCGCGGUGGUCAUGAGGCGUCUGGGAAGCCCUUGGUUGCUCCCAGUCCCUUGAAAUGCAGUGGCCGGACAGUUGCGUGCUUUUCGGGUCGGUUCGUCCCGGAUUCGCUCGCACGGCUGAUGGUGAGAUUCCUCGUAAUCUCCCUUGUCGUGUCGCAGCGGCCGGGUGGAGCCUGUCUCGAGCUUGAGCCCCUGUCCGAAUCAAGCCAGCUCUGGAAAACGUCGCUUCUUUCUUUUCGGAGAAGGAAACACCUUCGACCUGAGAUCAGGCAAGACUACCCGCUGAAUUUAAGCAUAUUAAUAAGCGGAGGAAAAGAAACCAACAGGGAUUCCCCCAGUAACGGCG